CUAUAUCGUCGUGACCAAGGCCCGCGGUGCAGGGAAGCCGGUGCGAUUCCGGCGCGGUCCCGCCACUGUGACCGGGGAAUGCGCUCCCCGAACGAGACCGGCCACUGACGGAGCAGUCCGUCGGGAAGGCCGGGGAGCGCGUGCUGAUCCGGGAGUCAGGAUACCGGCCGCGGGAUGUUCCGUGUU
rnacentral:ncRNA from 2 species